rnacentral:pre_miRNA from 1 species
AAUAGAUGACGCCGUUGACUUUUUCGUACAUGACCAUUCGUCUUAUUCAAAAAAAUUUACGUAAUUAUAAUUUAUUUUACUAUGAGUUGUUUUAUCACUCAUAGUACUUUAAGUAUGAUUUAUAUCUUAUACAUUUGCAUAAAAUUUUUGAAUAAGACGAAUGGUCAAACAUGUAAGAAAAAGUCAACGGCGUCAUCUAUU